rnacentral:rRNA from 1 species
AUGGAGUGCACCCUCAAGACUAUGUUUUGGAAUGUCCAUGGCCUUCACUCUAGGGCUAAGCGCACCGCGGUCCGCUCUGUAAUCUCUUCGGUUUCCCCGAACAUUGUGUGUCUUCAAGAAACGAAGCUCGAUUCGUUCUCGUUGCCCCUUGUUGUGGAGACGCUCGGUCCAUGCUUCUUGGAUUACUUAUUCCUCCCGGCCAUCGGCACCCGUGGCGGCAUCCUCCUUGCUUGGAACCGCAACGAGAUUGCUAUCUCCAGUCCCUAUAUCGGUCAACACCACAUCACGACCCUCGUUUCUACCACUUCGGGCGCGCACCCUUGGUGGAUCACCGGGGUCUCCUGGUUGUCUUCUGGUCCAAGAAAAAUCAUCGCGAAGGUUUCAUUCCAUUUGGUAUUCCUUUUCUGCGAAACUCAAAAGCAAGAAAAAAAACAUGAACUGGCACUGGGCUCUAGGUUAAUAGGUUAG